UGACCGCUGGCGGCGUGCCUACUACAUGCAAGUCGAGCGACCAGACGCGGAGCUUGCUCCUCUGACGUUAGCGGCGGACGGGUGAGUAACACGUGGAUAACCUACCUAUAAGACUGGGAUAACUUCGGGAAACCGGAGCUAAUACCGGAUAAUAUAUUGAACCGCAUGGUUCAAUAGUGAAAGACGGUUUUGCUGUCACUUAUAGAUGGAUCCGCGCCGCAUUAGCUAGUUGGUAAGGUAACGGCUUACCAAGGCAACGAUGCGUAGCCGACCUGAGAGGGUGAUCGGCCACACUGGAACUGAGACACGGUCCAGACUCCUACGGGAGGCAGCAGUAGGGAAUCUUCCGCAAUGGGCGAAAGCUUGACGGAGCAACGCCGCGUGAGUGAUGAAGGUCUUCGGAUCGUAAAACUCUGUUAUUAGGGAAGAACAAAUGUGUAAGUAACUAUGCACGUCUUGACGGUACCUAAUCAGAAAGCCACGGCUAACUACGUG
rnacentral:rRNA from 1 species